AUUGUGUUGAAGAAAUUCGCGGUGCGUAAGUUUUUUUAACGCUCUCGGUGUCACUCGAAGGACAAUUGUGUAAUAGUAAUGGACAACGAAUUUUUAUCAACCAGCGAAAGUAGACGGAGUUUUCGGUUGACAAAUUUGCUACGCUAAACCGGUGGGAAAAACGCACCGGGAUGUUUGUAGACCGCAUCAUUUAUAUGGUUCAUGAUUCCGGUGCGGGAUAAUGUUGGAUAAUCUUACACCGGUUUAGCGUAGCGCUUUUCUGGAGUGCCACUUGAAAGAUAAUUGUGUAAUAGUAAUGGACAAUGUACUUUUAUCACUCCGCGAAAGUWGACAAAGGUUUAUCCGAGGAGACCACGUGUAUUUAAUAUGGAAACGGUAGAAGAGCUCAACRAGAAUUGUUACUCCGCUGCAAUUAAGUACAGACUUGAAGAAUUAUUUAAUUUAUCUAUGGCACUAUCACAACCACCAACCUGAACUGAAUGUGCUGUUUUUGAGAAAAGUCAGGCGAUAAAGGAAUAUUGAUCUAGCAGUUACUUAAUUUAAGAAAACUAUGUUGAAUAAGCAAAUCAUCAAUCACUCGAAAGCAACUCCUAAUUACACAUUCGUUUAAGCUCGAGGGGAGUGAAUAAUAUGAUGUAUUGGAGAUUCCCACACCAAAUUAUUGAUGUUAGCUAAUUUAAUGUUGCGUUGAACCACGUCAUCUACUCUUCAACUGUUCUAUAUCCUCUAUCCAGGUUUUCAACAUGUGCUACUAUUUAUGUAUAGAACAAAGAAGAGACAUUAAAGAGAGGAUAAGAAUUUCAACUUAUAUGAUUUUAGUGUGUUAUUUGAUAAUGGUCAGUUGUAACAAUAUAAACCAAAUAUGAGUUAAUGUGCAAAGGUUUAAAGGUAUUCAUGGAAAAUAUUCUUUAAUUUUUGCAUUGCAAUCGCUUGUUAAAAUGGAAUUGAUGCUACUCCCGAUCAAACGGCAUAGURUACUAUUGCAACCUUAAAUCAUUUCCAAACCAUGUUCAUUACAACUUUUAGUGA